rnacentral:rRNA from 1 species
AAUCUACCUAGUAGAAGGGGAUAGCCCGGGGAAACCCGGAUUAAUACCGUAUACCUCCUUCGGGAGAAAGAAGGCCUCUCUUUGAAGCUUUCGCUAUUAGAUGAGCCUGCGUAAGAUUAGCUUGUUGGUGAGGUAAUGGCUCACCAAGGCAACGAUCUUUAGCUGGUCUGAGAGGACGAUCAGCCACAUUGGGACUGAGACACGGCCCAGACUCCUACGGGAGGCAGCAGUGGGGAAUAUUGGACAAUGGGCGCAAGCCUGAUCCAGCCAUACCGCGUGUGUGAAGAAGGCCUUCGGGUUGUAAAGCACUUUAAGCAGGGAGAAAAAGUUAUAAGUUAAUACCUUAUAACCGUGAUGUUACCUGCAGAAUAAGCACCGGCUAAUUCCGUGCCAGCAGCCGCGGUAAUACGGAAGGUGCAAGCGU